GAUUUCAGUGUUGAGUCCUUUGUGCCAGAGCUUCCCACUGCAUUUCAGACCUGGUUACAGGAAACUUGUCUGAUGGAGGAAAACAAAGUUCUGUUUCCCUUCCCAUUCCUCCUGACUCUAAGCAGCAUCACACCAUGUUCUUCCUGCCUGGCUGACACAAGAGCAAUGCCAGUACGGGCCAGUGCUAAAAGACCAGAUCUCUUAAGGGAUGCAAAGAACUUGGAAACUGUGCUGAUGGACAUCGUAGACACAGAAAGUGGGAAAAAUGGUUCUUUGACUUCCUUCACAAUAUAACAUCAUGUCAAAAAUAGACUUGAGAUCCUGUUAUUUAUAUUACUGAAGUACUGAAUGGCCUUGCCUGAGAACAGGCUGUUCCAGCAUUAACUGGAGUGCUGUGUUUCAAUGGGAGAUGGUCUGUGCCAUGAAGAACUGACACGUGAGGUAAACAAGAAGGACAAGGAGUCUUCUGACAGCUGGAGCAGCCCACGACCACCAGCUGGAAGUGGUGAAGUACAAGUGGCAAAUCUAAGCCAUUUUCCAAGGAGAUGAGGAAACCCCUGUGGCUGUCAGAGCUACUUACUCACAGUGCCACAUCAGCAUGACAGCUCUGAAGAAGCGAGCAGCUGCAAGACGUGCCUUGCUUUGGGGAGGCUCAGCAACAGCUUCUCAGGAUAACGGCAUCUCUCCAUCUACAUCUCAGUGAUGAGUUGCAAACACAGUGCAAGUCAAUCUUUGCCAUCCAAAACAUGCUUAGUAAGAGCGGCAGCGUUUCUCUGAGAAGGUGUGGCAUUGAAUGCAAAUGAACAGUGUCUUGAGAUGGCAUUAAUUUAUGCCACAGAAAAAAAAAAAACCUCUUUCAUCUGCUCCACGUGCUACAUGACCAAAAAUGUGUUGACCUAUGUGUGGCCACACUCAGACCUCUACAAAUGGGGUUCCUUUGGAACUGUUUAUUUUCCACUCUCCAAGACCUUUCAUUGGAUGGAGCACGUUGAAAGGCAAGAAAGAAAGAAAGAAAGAAAGAAAGAAAGAAAGAAAAUAUAUGCUGAGUGACUCUGCGAGAAAGCAUGAGAAAGCCUUACAAGGCAAAAUAAAAAGAUCUGGGCUGUGGCUGGAGGCUUGGUUCCUACCCCAGCUCAGCACUGUGCUCAGCCCAUCCAUGUGCUGGGGAGAAGAGCUUCCCUUGCUGGCUCACAGCUCCCUCCUCGGGAGUGGUAUGUGUGCAUUGCUGGGCUGAAUUUGCUUUGCAAAUCUAUCUUUGUGUCUUCAGAUUAGCUUUAUUUGCUCAAGGAUUUUGGAGGUAAUGCGGGGGAAUAUUCAUGUUUCUGUUAGUUGAAGUUUCAGCUUUUUGUUAACAUCAUGCCAGUAUGACAAGCACAUAGUGGGUAUUUUCAGGCUAGAUGAUGCUUUGUUUUCUUUGCUUUUCUCUUGCAGUCAGUGACUACUGUGGGUACGUCUCCCCUGUGCUCAUUGCUGUGGCUGCAGCUGGGGCUGACCACUGGGUUGUGCUUUGGCUAGGUGGGUGCUGCUCAGCAGCACUGCUGUAAAACCACUGAGCCUGGCAGGUUCAGGAAGGUCAUCUGAGGACAUAUACAAACACUAACCCUCAGCACUCUGAGUGGGUGUGCUUUGGCUGUGCAGUGUGCUCUGCUAGCACAGCUGAUAGUACAGCCUUCAUCUUCCUGCAAGCACAAGUGCAUCCCUUUGCUCCAAAGCUCACUAUGAGACAGAAGCGUGGUGUGUGGUCUUUUAUCUGUAAAAGUUAAAUAAUCAUUUCUCACUGCUUGCUCCUCUGUGUAACCUGGCAUUAAUCUGAGAGAUGAUGCAAGUUGUGGAACCUGAUUGCCUGUGCUCUCAAGUUUGGAUGCAGGGAAGCAGGAAGUCGCUGGUCAUCCUGUGCCAGAGGAACUUUUGGAUGCUCUCCCACCAGCCAGUUUUAUUCCCAGCAGAAGAUACUGGCUCAUCAUAGGCUUAUUUAUUUAGAGCAGAAAGACUUAUCUCAGCAGGAAUUUUUGCCUCAGACCAGCCCUCCCCCAUGGGACUGGGACAUCUGCUGUCAGUCCACAUGACUCAGGACAGCCUAAUGACCUCAGCAUGUUGCUCCUGGUGAACAGGAGUUCCAGUCAAAGACCAAAG
rnacentral:lncRNA from 1 species